rnacentral:rRNA from 1 species
AACGAACGCUGGCGGCAUGCCUAACAAAUGCAAGUCGAACGAGACCUUCGGGUCUAGUGGCGCACGGGUGCGUAACGCGUGGGAACCUGCCCUUAGGUUCGGAAUAACUCCCCGAAAGGGGUGCUAAUACCGGAUAAUGUCUUCGGACCAAAGAUUUAUCGCCUUUGGAUGGGCCCGCGUUGGAUUAGCUAGUUGGUAGGGUAAAAGCCUACCAAGGCGACGAUCCAUAGCUGGUCUGAGAGGAUGAUCAGCCACACUGGGACUGAGACACGGCCCAGACUCCUACGGGAGGCAGCAGUGGGGAAUAUUGGACAAUGGGCGAAAGCCUGAUCCAGCAAUGCCGCGUGAGUGAUGAAGGCCCUAGGGUUGUAAAGCUCUUUUACCCGGGAUGAUAAUGACAGUACCGGGAGAAUAAGCUCCGGCUAACUCCGUG